rnacentral:rRNA from 1 species
GACGAACGCUGGCGGCGUGCUUAACACAUGCAAGUCGAACGAAGAGCGAUGGAAGCUUGCUUGUAUCAAUCUUAGGGACGAGUGGGUAAGUAACGCGUAAUCUACCUGCCACUCAGAGGGGGACACAGGGAGGUGAGGACUACUAAUAACGGAUACGACCUAAGCAUGGCGUCGGGGAAAGAGGAAAGGUGGUCGGUAUUGAUAACGCAGCAUUUCAGGUGGUGGGUGCGGCUGAUUAGUUAGAUGGAGGGGAAAGGGCCCACCAAGGCGAUGGUAAGUAGCCGGUCUGCGAGGAUGAACGGCCACAUUGGGACUGUGACCCGGCACAGACUCAUAGGGGAGGCAGCAGUGGGGAAUCUUCCGCAAUGGACGAAAGUCUGACGGAGCAACGCCGCGUGAGUGAUGACGGCCGUCGGGUUGUAAAGCUCUGUUAAUCGGGACGAAAGGCCUUCUUGCGAAUAGUGAGAAGGAUUGACGGUACCGGAAUAGAAAGCCACGGCUAACUACGUG